rnacentral:rRNA from 1 species
UACGUAGGGGGCAAGCGUUGUUCGGAAUGACUGGGCGUAAAGGGUGCGUAGGCGGUGUAGCAAGUUAGAAGUGAAAUACCUAGAGCUUAACUCAGGUGCUGCUUCUAAAACUGCUAUACUUGAGUGCAGUAGAGGAAAGUGGAAUUCCUAGUGUGGCGGUGGAAUGCGUAGAUAUUAGGAGGAACAUCAGUGGCGAAGGCGACUUUCUGGACUGUAACUGACGCUGAGGCACGAAAGUGUGGGGAGCAAACAGG